rnacentral:rRNA from 1 species
ACGCUCGACACCUACGGGACGCAGCAGUGGGGAAUAUUGCACAAUGGGGGAAACCCUGAUGCAGCGACGCCGCGUGAGUGAAGAAGUAUUUCGGUAUGUAAAGCUCUAUCAGCAGGGAAGAAGAUGACGGUACCUGAGUAAGAAGCCCCGGCUAACUACGUGCCGGCAGCCGCGGUAAUCUGAGCGGGCUGGCAAGGC